AGUGAACGCUGGCGGCGUGCUUAACACAUGCAAGUCGAACGAGAACGGGUUAUAGCUUGCUAUAAUUGCCAGCUAAGUGGCGCACGGGUGAGUAAUGUAUAGGUAAUAUGCCUCUUACUAAGGGAUAACAAUUGGAAACGAUUGCUAAUACCUUAUACUCCUUAUUAACAGAAGUUAAUAAGGGAAAGAUUUAUUGGUAAGAGAUUAGCCUGUAUUGUAUCAGUUAGUUGGUGGGGUAAUGGCUUACCAAGACUAUGACACAUAACUGGUUUGAGAGGAUGAUCAGUCACACUGGAACUGAGACACGGUCCAGACUCCUACGGGAGGCAGCAGUGGGGAAUAUUGCACAAUGGACGAAAGUCUGAUGCAGCAACGCCGCGUGGAGGAUGACACAUUUCGGUGCGUAAACUCCUUUUAUAUGAGAAGAUAAUGACGGUAUUAUAUGAAUAAGCACCGGCUAACUCCGUGCCAGCCGCCGCCGUAA
rnacentral:rRNA from 1 species